UAACAAGGUUUCCGUAGGUGAACCUGCGGAAGGAUCAUUAUUGAAUUAUGUUUCUAGAUAGGUUGUAGCUGGCUCUUUAGAGCAUGUGCACGCCUGUUUGGACUUCAUUUUCAUCCACCUGUGCACCUAUUGUAGUCUUUGGUUGGGUUAGGAGGAAGUGGUCAUUGUGUCAGCAUCUGCUGGAUGUGAGGACUUGCAUUGUGAAAGCUUUGCUGUCCUUGAUGUGAUCAUGGAAUCUCUUUCUCACUAGAGUCUAUGUCACUCAUUAUACUCUGUCGAAUGUCAUUGAAUGUCUUUACAUGGGCUUGUAUGCCUAUGAAAAUUGUAAUACAACUUUCAGCAACGGAUCUCUUGGCUCUCGCAUCGAUGAAGAACGCAGCGAAAUGCGAUAAGUAAUGUGAAUUGCAGAAUUCAGUGAAUCAUCGAAUCUUUGAACGCAUCUUGCGCUCCUUGGUAUUCCGAGGAGCAUGCCUGUUUGAGUGUCAUUAAAUUCUCAACUCUCUUAUACUUUUUUGUAAAAGAGAGCUUGGACUGUGGAGGCUUGCUGGCCACUUUUUGGGGUCAGCUCCUCUGAAAUGCAUUAGCGGAACCGUUUGCGAUCUGCCACAAGUGUGAUAAGUUAUCUACGCUGGCGAGGGGAUUGCUCUCUGUAAUGUUCAGCUUCUAAUUGUCUCUACUUUGUGAGACUACUUUUGAAUGCUUGACCUCAAAUCAGGUAGGACUACCCGCUGAACUUAAGCAUAUCAAUA
rnacentral:rRNA from 1 species